rnacentral:lncRNA from 1 species
CAUCAUCGCUCCAAUAAAAUAGAGUUCAGUUCAUGUUGAGCUGAGAAAACAUCACAAGAAGAAAUUCAAAACAAACUUGCAUUGGUAAAAAGUAAAAAGAAAUAAUCUAGAAAGAAAAAAUAAUUAUCCACUUAAUGCCGAGUGCUUCAGAUCUCUUUUCCUUUUCGUCUUUGCAAGCUUGAAGCUCCUUUUGGUGUGAGAGAAUUGUUUCUUAGCCUCCAAGUUAAUUUCUCCUCUUUUUCCUCGCUUUUCUUCUUAAAUCACGUCACCCCUUAUUUAUAGGGUUUUUA